rnacentral:rRNA from 1 species
CCUACGGUGUGGCAACAGUGGGGAAUAUUGGACAAUGGGCGAAAGCCUGAUCCAGCCAUGCCGCGUGUGUGAAGAAGGCCUUCGGGUUGUAAAGCACUUUCAGUGGGGAAGAAAGCCUUGGGGCUAAUACCCUCGAGGAAGGACAUCACCCACAGAAGAAGCACCGGCUAACUCCGUGCCAGCAGCCGCGGUAAUACGGAGGGUGCGAGCGUUAAUCGGAAUUACUGGGCGUAAAGCGCGCGUAGGCGGUCUGAUAAGCCGGUUGUGAAAGCCCCGGGCUCAACCUGGGAACGGCAUUCGGAACUGUCAGGCUAGAGUGCAGGAGAGGAAGGUAGAAUUCCCGGUGUAGCGGUGAAAUGCGUAGAGAUCGGGAGGAAUACCAGUGGCGAAGGCGGCCUUCUGGACUGACACUGACGCUGAGGUGCGAAAGCGUGGGUAGCAAACAGGAUUAGAUACCCGUGUAGUC